rnacentral:rRNA from 1 species
AUUGAACGCUGGCGGCAGGCCUAACACAUGCAAGUCGAGCGGAUGAAGGGAGCUUGCUCCUGGAUUCAGCGGCGGACGGGUGAGUAAUGCCUAGGAAUCUGCCUGGUAGUGGGGGAUAACGUCCGGAAACGGGCGCUAAUACCGCAUACGUCCUGAGGGAGAAAGUGGGGGAUCUUCGGACCUCACGCUAUCAGGUGAGCCUAGGUCGGAUUAGCUAGUUGGUGGGGUAAAGGCCUACCAAGGCGACGAUCCGUAACUGGUCUGAGAGGAUGAUCAGUCACACUGGAACUGAGACACGGUCCAGACUCCUACGGGAGGCAGCAGUGGGGAAUAUUGGACAAUGGGCGAAAGCCUGAUCCAGCCAUGCCGCGUGUGUGAAGAAGGUCUUCGGAUUGUAAAGCACUCUAAGUUGGGAGGAAGGGCAGUAAGUUAAUACCUUGCUGUUUUGACGUUACCAACAGAAUAAGCACCGGCUAACUUCGUG